CCAAUAGCGUAUAUUAAAGUUGUUGCAGUUAAAAAGCUCGUAGUUGAAUUUCGGGACCAAAAUGUCGGUCGUGCUUCGGUACGUACUUGCAUUAUUGGUUUCUCCCUUCUGAAGAACCAUGAUGUCAUUAAUUUGGUGUCUUGGGGAAUCAGGACUGUUACUUUGAAAAAAUUAGAGUGUUUAAAGCAGGCUCACGCUUGAAUACAUUAGCAUGGAAUAAUGAAAUAGGACGUUUGAUUCUAUUUUGUUGGUUUCUAGGAUCGACGUAAUGAUUAAUAGGGAUAGUUGGGGGCAUUAGUAUUCAAUUGUCAGAGGUGAAAUUCUUGGAUUUAUUGAAGACUAACUACUGCGAAAGCAUUUGCCGAGGAUGUUUUCAUUAAUCAAGAACGAAAGUUAGGGGAUCGAAGACGAUCAGAUACCGUCGUAGUCUUAACCAUAAACUAUGCCGACUAGGGAUCGGAUGAUGUUAAUUUUUUUAAUGACUCAUUCGGCGCCUUACG
rnacentral:rRNA from 1 species